rnacentral:rRNA from 1 species
GAGGAAUAUUGGUCAAUGGGCGAGAGCCUGAACCAGCCAAGUCGCGUGAAGGAUGACUGUCUUAUGGAUUGUAAACUUCUUUUAUACGGGAAUAACAAGAGUCACGUGUGACUCCCUGCAUGUACCGUAUGAAUAAGCAUCGGCUAACUCCGUGCCAGCAGCCGCGGUAAUACGGAGGAUGCGAGCGUUAUCCGGAUUUAUUGGGUUUAAAGGGUGCGUAGGCGGUUUGUUAAGUCAGCGGUGAAAUCUAGAGGCUCAACCUCGAAACUGCCGUUGAAACUGGCGAACUUGAGUGUAGAUGAGGUAGGCGGAAUUCGUGGUGUAGCGGUGAAAUGCAUAGAUAUCACGAGGAACUCCAAUUGCGAAGGCAGCUUACUAAGGUACAACUGACGCUGAAGCACGAAAGCGUGGGUAUCAAACAGGAUUAGAUACCCUGGUAGUCCACGCAGUAAACGAUGAUAACUGGGCGUAUGCGAUAUACAGUAUGCUCCUAAGCGAAAGCGUUAAGUUAUCCACCUGGGGAGUACGCCGGCAACGGUG